rnacentral:tRNA from 1 species
GCGACUGUGGUUCAGUGGUAGAAUUGGAGCUUGCCAAGCUUCGGACUCGGGUUCGAUUCCCGGCAGUCGCA